rnacentral:rRNA from 1 species
UACGGGGGGAGCAAGCGUUGUUCGGAUUUACUGGGCGUAAAGGGCGCGUAGGCGGCCACCGCAAGUCGACCGUGAAAUCUCCGGGCUUAACCCGGAAAGGUCAGCCGACACUGCGGGGCUAGAGUGCAGAAGGGGCAACUGGAAUUCUCGGUGUAGCGGUGAAAUGCGUAGAUAUCGAGAGGAACACCUGCGGCGAAGGCGGGUUGCUGGGCUGACACUGACGCUGAUGUGCGAAAGCUAGGGGAGCGAACGGG